rnacentral:rRNA from 1 species
UACAGAGGUCUCAAGCGUUGUUCGGAUUCAUUGGGCGUAAAGGGUGCGUAGGCGGCGCUGUAAGUCGGGUGUGAAAUCUCGGGGCUUAACUCCGAAACUGCAUUCGAUACUGCCGUGCUUGAGGACUGGAGAGGAGACUGGAAUUUACGGUGUAGCGGUGAAAUGCGUAGAUAUCGUAAGGAAGACCAGUGGCGAAGGCGGGUCUCUGGACAGUUCCUGACGCUGAGGCACGAAGGCCAGGGGAGCAAACGGG